rnacentral:tRNA from 1 species
GGGCAAUUAGCUCAGUCGGUAGAGCAUCUGACUUUUAAUCAGGUGGUCGCAGGUUCGAAUCCUGCAUUGCCCACCA